UACAGAGGGUGCAAGCGUUGUUCGGAAUUAUUGGGCAUAAAGCGCGUGUAGGCGGCUUUGCAAGUCGGGUGUGAAAGCCCUCAGCUCAACUGAGGAAGUGCGCCCGAAACUGCAGAGCUUGAGUGCCGGAGAGGGUGGCGGAAUUCCCCAAGUAGAGGUGAAAUUCGUAGAUAUGGGGAGGAACACCGGUGGCGAAGGCGGCGACCUGGGUAGAUACUGACGCUGAGGUGCGAAAGCGUGGGGAGCAAACAGG
rnacentral:rRNA from 1 species